CCUACGGGCGGCUGCAGUAAGGAAUAUUGCGCAAUGGGCGAAAGCCUGACGCAGCGACGCCGCGUGGGGGAUGAAGGUCUUCGGAUUGUAAACCCCUUUCGGGAGGGAAGAUGGAGCGAGCAAUCGUUCGGACGGUACCUCCAGAAGCAGCCACGGCCAACUUCGUGCCAGCAGCCGCGGUAAUACGAAGGUGGCAAGCGUUGUUCGGAUUCACUGGGCGUACAGGGUGUGUAGGCGGUUUGGUAAGCCUUCUGUUAAAGCUUCGGGCCCAACCCGGAAAGCGCAGAGGGUACUGCCAGGCUAGAGGGUGGGAGAGGAGCGCGGAAUUCCCGGUGUAGCGGUGAAAUGCGUAGAGAUCGGGAGGAAGGCCGGUGGCGAAGGCGGCGCUCUGGAACAUACCUGACGCUGAGACACGAAAGCGUGGGGAGCAAACAGGAUUAGAUACCCUGGUAGUC
rnacentral:rRNA from 1 species